CCCGCUUCAACAGAGCCCUCAUGCUUCGAUGGCUUUGGUAUAAAUGGACUGACACAUGCAAACCAUGGGCCACUUUACCUCAUGCCGCCACCGAAGCUGAAUUGGCACUCUUCCGGUCAUGUACAUUUCUCACUCUAGGAAAUGGUGAAAGAACAAAUUUCUGGAAGGAUAGGUGGAUUAAUGGUACAACACCUAUGGACAUAGCCUCUAGCUGCUUCAGACUUGCAAGGAGGAAGAAUCACUCAGUAAAAAAUGCCCUUGCAAGGAACAGGUGGAUGGUGGGUCUGCAACAUCUUACUACUAAUGACUAGGCUCGUCAGUUCCUUCACCUUUGGCUUGCUGUAAGGUCUGUUCAGUUAACUGACCAACAGGACACCGUCACAUUGAAUUUUGGGAACACCAAUUGCUACACGGCUAGUUCAGCGUAUCAAGUCCAAUUCUUUGGUACCAUGAACAAGCACAAUUGGAUGCAGA
rnacentral:misc_RNA from 1 species